UACGUAGGGUGCAAGCGUUAAUCGGAAUUACUGGGCGUAAAGCGUGCGCAGGCGGCUUUGCAAGACAGAUGUGAAAUCCCCGGGCUUAACCUGGGAACUGCAUUUGUGACUGCAAGGCUAGAGUACGGUAGAGGGGGAUGGAAUUCCGCGUGUAGCAGUGAAAUGCGUAGAUAUGCGGAGGAACACCGAUGGCGAAGGCAGCCCCCUGGGCUGAGAUUGACGCUCAGGCACGAAAGCGUGGGGAGCAAACAGG
rnacentral:rRNA from 1 species